rnacentral:rRNA from 1 species
GACGAACGCUGGCGGCGUGCUUAACACAUGCAAGUCGAACGGAAAGGCCCUGCUUUUGUGGGGUGCUCGAGUGGCGAACGGGUGAGUAACACGUGAGUAACCUGCCCUUGACUUUGGGAUAACUUCAGGAAACUGGGGCUAAUAUCGGAUAGGAGCUCCUGCUGCAUGGUGGGGGUUGGAAAGUUUCGGCGGUUGGGGAUGGACUCGCGGCUUAUCAGCUUGUUGGUGGGGUAGUGGCUUACCAAGGCUUUGACGGGUAGCCGGCCUGAGAGGGUGACCGGCCACAUUGGGACUGAGAGACGGCCCAGACUCCUACGGGAGGCAGCGGGGGGAAAUAUGGCACAAUGGGCGGAAGCCUGAUGCAGCAACGCCGCGUGCGGGAUGACGGCCUUCGGGUUGUAAACCGCUUUCGCCUGUGACGAAGCGUGAGUGACGGUAAUGGGUAAAGAAGCACCGGCUAACUACGUG